CCCCUCCCAUGUUUGUUCACAGAUUCAGCAAUUUGUCUUUUACUUUGGAGGUAAUGGCCAGUGGACUCCUAAAUAUUUCACUGUACUAGCAGGUCCUGAGUCUUUGUAGAGUUCAUCUUCCACCCUUUGGAGCAUGUAUCUAACCAAGGCUUCUAGCAUACUGGCCACCUCUUCCUCUUUUGUCCAGUCAUCAUGAUUUUAUUGAUGUGAUGAAUCAGGGUGGUGUUCUGAGGGACUCAUAGGUGAUUCAGACCUUUUCAGACAAAAUUAUGGCAAAGGGUAAGAGUGUUACCAUAGCCCCAAGACAAAAUCGGAGAUCAAUAUUAUUGUCUAUUUCAUCUGAAUUCAAACCUUUUCUGAUCUUCUUUCCUAAUUGGAAUGGAAAAGAAUAUGUUGUCCAAAUCAAUGGCUAAAAACUAGGUACCUGAAGUUUUAUUAAUCUGCUUAGCACAGUAUCACAUCUGGCACAGUAACUAUAAUCAUCAGGUUUACUACUUGAUUAAGUCUGUAAUAGUACACAGUUAUUCUCCAGGACCCAGCUGGUUUCUGCACGGACCACAUUGGUCAUCAUGAGUGAAGUCUUGAGCCACUGAGCCACUACCACCUUGUGCCAAAUACUAUCUGUGCCCUGCCUGCCAACCAGGAUGACAACCCUUCACCUGCCAGGUGGAGAGAGACAGCAGCAGGCUAACUAGUUGUCUGUUAAGAACAUCCAGAGCAGGACCAGAAUCUGGGCCAGGAACUGAGAGACAGAUUGGGACAACGGAACAAAUCUACCAGGGUAUGCUGGCCAACUUAGUCUUCUAUUAUGAUCAAGGAAGGAUGGCGCCUGAGAGGUCAUUACUAUGUGACUGGUCUUCAUAUAUUGCUUCUAUGUUUGAUUCUUCCUCCAGAAAUGUUUCAAUAGCAAACUCAAUGAGUUUACGUAGCCAGAAUCUUAGUCAAUAACCUACUCUGCAGUAUCUUAGGGCUGACUUUGUACAUAUGGAAGUCAGCCAGAUCUCAUGAGUGGAUCAUUAAGCUAGAAUUAUUUUCUUGGCACACGUUACAGUAAGGUAAUAUAUGACCUAGGCCUAAGGCAGGCCAUCAACCUGUCAAGAGUAAUGACCCCCAGGGGUAAGGCCUUGCUGUCUCCACCUCAAGGAUGGGUCUUCAAAGUGGAGACAAUAUAGUCCCUAUGGUUUCUACAUGCUUAAUGAGUCUGUUAUGUGAAUUAUAAAGAUAAUAUCUAUGGGGACUUUGAGCUCCUACAAUAAAAAUGUAUAAAUAUAAUCCAAGAAAUUCUGGUAGACAAACAUUGUAAUAAUGCAUAUCAGUCUUUGUAUCUCCAUUUAGUUUUUUUAAAACUUGGCUUGUGUCCAGAAGUAUGCACAGAUAUACAUAGCAAAUGCUCAGUGCUGAAUGUUUAGCUAAAUCCUGUGCUUCAAAGCAAGGAUGAAUAGAUUUUCAUCAGAGCUCAGGACCUGAACUGUAGGCUUCCCUCACAAUGAGAAGUAAAGCUAAGUAUAGGUGAAUCCUGAGUGGCACAUAUUCUAUGAGAGUUUUAUACAUAAUUUGAAUGAUUGAUAUGCUGCAUCUUUCAUUGAAAUGAUUGUCAACCAAUAUUAUUUCAAGUGUUAUUUCCAUGCUAUUUCUAGUUCUGUAUGUUUUACGUAAUUAUAAAUGGCUUCAUAUUUUCAUGUAACAUUGUAUGAUAUGAUUUGGGUUCUAACAGGUUAUCCUUGACACCAGUAUAGAAUACCCAGAAUUAAUUUAAGGUAUAUUAUCAAACCACUAAAAUUAGGAUGUCCAUGAAUUCUGAAGGAGAAAAUAUCAUUUAGAUUGUGUGUGUGUGUGUGUGUGUGUGCGCGUGUGUGUGUGUCCUCUAAGUUUUAAACAUGAGGUGGUUAUAUAAAGGGGACUUCUAAAUUGGGAGAGGAUGAAAAUGGGCUAAAUAUUUCAAACAAACUUCAGUGUGAAAUCAGUAGUAUAUUCAGUAGAGGUGACAGGGAAAAAAGCUGUGGAGGAGAAAAGAGAACAAGAAAAUCAGGAAGCAGUAAAAAUGAUGACUGAGGUCAGGUGGUAAUGGUAACAUCAAGAAACUUGAAUCUGAUGGAAAAAAACCACGGGUAGCUAUAAAAGGGGCAUUCGAAAUAGGAAAUGAUGUGAGAGGAGAAGAUAAUUUUAGUAUAGUUAAAGGAGGUAGCAGCUAUAGGUGUGAAGAGAACGGAUUAAUUUUAAAUGUGUCCCAGAAGUAAGAGAAAUAUUUUUUUGAGGAGUGGGGGAGGAACAAUGAGAUAAACCUGGUUGAGUGUUUUAUGGUUAUCUCAAGUAAGAGUCCACUUGGAGUAUUAUGUCCAUUUUUGGACACCAUACUUUCAUAGGCAUGUUGAUGAACCAGGUCAUUCAAGACACCAGGGUAGUGAGAAGUGUGUUAAUAGUGCUUCUACCAGAGAGUUAGAGUGACAUGGCAGCUGUCCUCAUAUCUAUCGAUCUGUCAUAAGGAAGAAAGAUCACAUGCCUCUGCAUUGUUUAAAAGAAAGAAACAGACCCAAAGAAAGUCAGGAGGCAGAUUUUGCUCAAUAUAAUGAUCUAACAAUUAGAUGUGCCCUGUAACAGAGUGCGCUAUUGUAAAGUAAUGUUCUCCCAUCUUUCCAAGUAUUCAAGCAGAGAAUAGUCAAUAAUACAACUAACGACUGGAAGGGUUUCUUUUAUUCUAAGGUACUAUCAGAUGGAGGAACAUGUAGUUUGUGGUCAGUGACCUCAGGUUCUCACAUUCACGGUGCUGCAUCCUGGUUUUCAUUUGGGGACUGUUUUCUGGCACUCCCGCCUGUCUGGAGGUGAGAUAUGCUUGUUAUGACAACCCUUCUGUCACAAUAAAUUGGCUGGUGCAUUCAGUGUCAUCUAUGGCUUUUUACUUCUAUUAAUUCAUUAAUUCCGGGCCCCCAAGCGAAAGUUUCCAAAGGCCUUUUUUCUUCUUUGUUAAUUAUAACAUGAUAUCAAUCAGCACCCAAGCAGAAACUAGAAGAGUAUUCAAACUAGGUAAUUUGAGGAGAGUUUAAUAAAGCAACAGCUUACAAAGAUGUGGACAGUGGCUUAAGGAAGCCACUAAAGGAUGGCACAGUCCUCCAGGCUUGUGAUCAGGGGAGUCAUUACCAUCCCCCAGCCUGAAGAUCAAGAGGCUGGAGCUAUUUCCAGACCCUGAAGAGGGUGGUUGUAUGGAGAGGACUAUCUGAAAGAAGAGGCUGUAGCCAACACAAGAAAGCCAGGGAAUAAAUAAUCCAUCCUCACUCUCCUGCUGUUGCCUCUCAAUGGCCAAACCCAACCAUGAGCUGGGCAUGAAGGGAGCUAGCUGACAGCUAUAUGGCUCAGCUUCCUGGGGCCCAGAGCAGAGUGGAGCUGAGAAGAGAGUGAAUCUGGAGGGGUUAAUGGAAGAAACCACAGAAAGCAAAUUCCUCCCUGAGAUACAGUUGGUGCUUAGGCAAUAUUUGUACUGACAGGAAUGUGGCCACAUAUUUUGGAAAAGCUCAGGGACUCAAUCCUCUGCUAGCUGCUUUGAGGCCAUGUCUGCCGAAGUCACUGUCCUCUACAGGGUUUUUUCCUCAUGUUCAGUGUUUAGUCCUUUCCACCUUCACGAAAACGAUGCCUACUUAAUAUACAGAAAGGAGGACAUACAGAAAUUUUUCAUCUUAAUUGGAUAUUACAGUUGCCCCACUUUGGAGCCAAGAAGAGCUGAAUAAAGCUGAGAAACACCUAAACAGAAAGGCAAGUUUACCAUGAAGUAAGAAACGUAAGCUUUGGACCCCUUAAUUGCUUGAGCCUCCGAUGCUCAAUAAAGGAAUGUAGAAGAAUGUUGGGAGAGAAGCAUUCUCACCUAUUUCUGAUCUUAACAGGCAGCAUUGCCAGCCAUCACUCCAUGGAUCCUCUCAUCUGGAAGUGCUCCACUUCAGAAAUCUUAGAUUCCAAGAUCCACUCUCAGAAAACAACCUCCAGACAUUUCUGCCGUCCACACAGUUGCUUCUUCUCCCUCUGGCGCACGGCCACCUGUGCUAUCUGCAGCCUCACCGGCAUUCCCUGGCCUCGCCCUCUGCACUUCAUCCUGACAGGCAUGGAGUCUCCUCCUGUCACCCCAGAGCUAUGUGGUGUCUUGAUUAGGUGACUUUGCCCAUGUUGUCAUUCAACUUAAUAUUUAUUGAUCUAUCUCUGUGAGAAUCACUUGGCUGGCCCUUUCGUCUGGAGUGUCAGCCUCCUCUCACCUGCCCCCAGGAGGCUUCCUCCUUCUUCUUUUAACUGCUUGCACAUCUUUAAGACUCAGCCUUGGAGACACGUCUUUUAAAAAGCCUUGAAUGGGCCUGGGAAGUGGCUCACACCUGUAAUCCCAGCACCUUCAGAGGCCAAAGUGGGAGGAUCACUUGAGGCCAGGAGUUCAAGACUAGCCUGGACAACAUGGUGAAAGCCCGUCUCUACUAAAAACACAAAAAUUAACCGGGUAUGAUGGCACACACCUGUAAUCCCAGCUACUCAGGAGCCUGAGGCAUGAGAAUCACUUGAACCUGGGGAGGCUGCAGUGAGCCAAGAUUGAACACCACUGCUCUCCAGCCUGGGCAACAGAGCAAGACUCUGUCUCAAGAAAAAAAAAAAAAAAGAUACCUUCUCUGACCACUCCCUCUAUUCUUCCCUUUCCCAUAACACUAAGUCAUAUGCGCCCAAAACAAUUUGUGCACAUCUCCAUCAGUGAGUGGUUUUCCAUGAUGGUCAUCCUCCCCGACUAGGCUGGUGUAUUCUAGUGUGCUCACCUUUGGGGGUCUCUACUACUGAUUAUUUGCAAGACCUAAGGCAACUUAUUUCACUUUGUAAGCUUCUGUUUCCUCAACUACAAAACCAGGUUAUUAAUAGAAAUUGUAUGUAAGGAACCUAGCACAAUGCUUGAUAUACAGUAAGUGCAAAGUAUGUUAAAUGUUUAAUAAAUUAAUGUCAUAGGAACACCAUUAGAAAACUCCUUAAAAGAAAAAUAUUUAUUUUUUAAGCACUUGUAGGGACAAGGAGCUUGUCCCCUUGUUUGAUAAUUCUAUUUAUAGUGUAACUGAAGCCAUCGUAGUUUGACUCACACUAGUUUUAUUGACAAAAAUGAGUGCCCUCUGCCCCUACUCCCAGUGUCCCCUGUUCUGCUAAAGAAUCUUGAGACUCUCUCAAGGUGCUCUGUCAUGUGUAUUCAGAAACUGGUCCCUCUGGGGCAAAGCUGUUCUCAGCUGGUGCCUGUGGCUGCCACCACUGCUGUGGCCUGAGGACAGAAGUCAUAACCCUCCUCUGCUUUGCCUCAGGGGUUGGUUGUGGACCUUUCCCCUUAAUUCCUCUCAGGACAUCAGAAGUCAAAAUAUUUGAGACACUGAUCAGAUCACAAUAAAGGUUCAGGGACAAUGGAAAGGAAACAGAAAACAGAGAAUAAGUCAGUGCCAGGCACAGGUCCUUCCCCCUCCAGGAGGAAGUGCCCUGGGGACUCAACAGUCACCUUUCCUGGGAAAUCCAGUCAGACUGACUCUAGUCCCAGCAUUCUGAUUUCCCGCCCCAUGACUGACCUCUUCUGAGGACAGCUGGCAGUGAGCAGUUCCAGUCCCUUCAGGGGAAACCCCACCUGCAUAAUCUCAGGGUGAUUCAUCGCCAGUGCAAUUCCCCAAAGCCCCAUCAUUCAGUCUUGCCUGUUGCCACUCUGUUGAUCAUGAAAAUCGUGGCUACCACAUCUAGUUUACUAAACAAUCCUUGUUCGUAGGAAGUACAGGCGUGAAAUAAUUUAUUUUUCUACAGUCACUUGCCUUCAGUUCUGCCAUGUUCACGAUCUCUCUGCUGAGUUCCCUGACAAUAUCUUGGUUAGAUCUCUAGGGUUCCAGUCACUUUCAAAGAUUAACAGCCCGAUUCGGUAUAGUCUGUGAACGCUGAAGGUCUGAGACAGGGCUCGGUUAAUUUAGAAAGUUUAUUUUGCCAAGGUUGAGGAUGCACCCAUGACACAGCCUCAGGAAGUCCUGAAGACAUGUGCCCAAUGUGGUCGGGGCACAGCUUGGUUUUAUACAUUUUAGGGAGACAUGAGACAUCAAUCAACAUAUGUAAGAAGUACAUUGGUUCCAUCUGGAAAGGCAGGACGACUUGAAGUAAAGGCAGGAAGACUCGAAGCGGGGAGGGAGCUUCCAGGUCACAGAUAGCUGAUACACAAACGGUUACAUUCUUCUGGAUUUCUGAUUAGCCUUUCCAAAGGAGGCAAGUCAGAUAUGAAUCUAUCUCAGUGAGCAGAGGGGAGACUGCGAAUAGAAUGCGAGACACGUUUGCCCUAAGCAGUUUCCAGCUUGAGUUUUCCUUAGUGAUUUUGGAAGCCCAAGAUAUUUUCCUUUCGCAAGUCCAAUUUAAAGCUUCCGUCUGGGUCCAAUGCAAUGACCAAUGUCCACUCCGCCAGCCCUGGCCAGCCCCCACCAGAGGGACUCAGGGUGUGGAGUAGCACACCUGCUCCGGCAGCAUCCUCCUCUAUUCUGUGCAGUCCUCCCAUCUGUGUGGACUAGUGAGGAGGAACAGGAGAGACAGACAAGUGUUUCUCACCUGCCUGGCCAGGGCUGGCAGCUGGUGGCAGACAUCCAAAUACUGGCUUCCUCACUGAUGCUUAUGUGAAUUUUCCAGAAGCCCCACAGAUGCCUCCCACUUCACAGUCUCUACCAUCUGCUCCUACCCUUGGUGAUUCACCCCACUGGUUUUUAUUGUUGUUGUUGUUACCAGGGUCCACUUUCCUGGCAGCCAGUUCUCUUGGGUGGGAUAUGGGUGAGACAGGCUCAAGGCUGGCUGCUUUCUAUGCGUUCCUUUGAUCUGUGAAAUCACACUUCCAUCACCAAAUGCUAAAUGGUAGGCAUGGGAGCUGCAGCACUCUACCCUUUCUCUCUGCCUCCUUCCAAUUCUCUUUUCUACUUGUCACAUUGGACAGAGGUGGGCCAGGCCGUCUACGUAUAAGCAGACAUCAAAUUGGUGAGUGAGGAGGGAGCAGGAAAAGCACCUCCUCACUCUGCAGCCCCCCCAAGGAAGCAGAUGACUCACCAACAGUCUCUCCUCUUGCCCCGAUCUGUUUAUAUGGACUGGAAGCAGGUGGUAGAGAUGAAGAUUAGGGAAGCAGAGGAAGUUCAGCCACUUCUUAACCAGCCCUGAAAGGGAUUCCUGAUCCCCAUUCAUUUACUUUUCUUAAUUGUUUGCUCCUUGACACUUCUUUGCCUCAGCUUUGGAUUCCAGUUGUCAAUUCCAGAGCAACAAGAAAAAUGCCGGCCGGGCGCGGUGGCUCACGCCUGUAAUCCCAGCACUUUGGGAGGCCGAGGCGGGAGGAUCACGAGGUCAGGAGAUCGAGACCAUCCCGGCUAAAACGGCGAAACCCCGUCUCUACUAAAAAUACAAAAAAUUAGCCGGGCGUAGUGGCGGGCGCCUGUAGUCCCAGCUACUUGGGAGGCUGAGGCAGGAGAAUGG
rnacentral:lncRNA from 10 species